rnacentral:rRNA from 1 species
AUGAAAAGGCUUGUGGUUCUGUUGUGCCUCUCUCGGCUGGUCAGACAAAGCAGUCCACCGAUGAUAAAGAAAUCCCAGCUGAAACUAAAGAAGGGUCUGUACAAGUUAAGAGAGGUGAAUCAUGCUCAUUUAUCUUCUGGUCUUAAGUUAGCAUGUUCUUCUCGUCCUCCCAUCCCCAGAGUAUGGAGAUUUCUUACACUAGUCCUGACUACUGAGGACAAGUAUCCUAUCAAGAUUACUGACAUCCUAGAUAAUGCUAAGUCUUAUACUAAAUAUGACAUUUUUUUUGCGGGGGUACUAAAUAUGACAUUGGCUCCACCUCUUGUGAAGGCGGAUCAGGUGUCGCUGGAUCAUGAAAUUCCUUCUGUUUCUGAUCCUUGCCUCGAGGAUAAGGGUGUAGACAAGCCUGAUACAGUCCAGUUGGUGCAGAGGCUUGCCGAGGUACUACAGAAUCGUUGGAGUGCUCUGUAG